AGCGAACGCUGGCGGCAGGCUUAACACAUGCAAGUCGAGCGCCUGUAGCAAUACAGGAGCGGCAGACGGGAGAGUAACACGUGGGAACGUACCCUUUGGUUCGGAACAACCCAGGGAAACUUGGACUAAUACCGGAUAAGCCCUAACGGGGAAAGAUUUAUCGCCAAAGGAUCGGCCCGCGUCUGAUUAGCUAGUUGGUGAGGUAACGGCUCACCAAGGCGACGAUCAGUAGCUGGCUGAGAGGAUGAUCAGCCUCACUGGGACUGAGACACGGCCCAGACUCCUACGGGAGGCAGCAGUGGGGAAUAUUGGACAAUGGGCGCAAGCCUGAUCCAGCCAUGCCGCGUGGGUGAUGAAGGCCUUAGGGUUGUAAAGCCCUUUCGGCGGGGAAGAUAAUGACGGUACCCGCAGAAGAAGCCCCGGCUAACUUCGUGCCAGCCGCCGCAGUAAU
rnacentral:rRNA from 1 species